GAUAAUUUUGCAUGACCACCAUUGAAUGUGCAGUUCCUUGAUUGACCUGUCCUGAUGCAGUGCCUGACUGUAGUUCUGCAGCUCCACUGAAGAAGAGGCACUGAGGACCAGAAGCAGCCAAGGGAUUGCAACUCAAAGAACGCUGAGGCCAUCCACAGAACAGACCCAGAGAAUAUCCAAGCAAGGUGCAGGAUGCCAGCUCUGUGUCCACUUGCAGGCCCAUGUGUGUAGGACCACCCACUUCCAUCUGCUCUGACCUCAGAGAUUAGCCUAACCCACUCCUACAAGCUGCACCCCAGUUCCUGCCCUUCCAGCCUGUCUCCUCCACCCUACCAGAUGGUUGUUUUCUAGAAUCAGUUACUUCCAAAUUAUGUUCAAUUAGGAAACAGAACUAAAGAAUAUGCCUCUGAUCUACUUAUUUCUCAGCCUGAAUGCUGACUUCAUAGACUUUCAAAACAAAGUAAUAGGUGAGGAGCAAA
rnacentral:lncRNA from 1 species